rnacentral:rRNA from 1 species
GGCGUGCCUAAUACAUGCAAGUCGAGCGGACCCUUCGGGGUUAGCGGCGGACGGGUGAGUAACACGUAGGCAACCUGCCUGUAAGACUGGGAUAACUACCGGAAACGGUAGCUAAGACCGGAUAAGUGAUUCUCUUGCAUGAGAGGAUCAAGAAACACGGGGUAACCUGUGGCUUACAGACGGGCCUGCGGCGCAUUAGCUAGUUGGUGGGGUAACGGCUCACCAAGGCGACGAUGCGUAGCCGACCUGAGAGGGUGAUCGGCCACACUGGAACUGAGACACGGCCCAGACUCCUACGGGAGGCAGCAGUAGGGAAUCUUCCGCAAUGGACGCAAGUCUGACGGAGCAACGCCGCGUGAGUGAUGAAGGUUUUCGGAUCGUAAAGCUCUGUUGCCAGGGAAGAACGUCGCGGAGAGUAACUGCUCUGCGAAUGACGGUACCUGAGAAGAAAGCCCCGGCUAACUACGUGCCAGCAGCCGCGGUAAUACGUAGGGGGCAAGCGUUGUCCGGAAUUAUUGGGCGUAAAGCGCGCGCAGGCGGCCGCUUAAGUCUGGUGUUUAAGCCCGAGGCUCAACCCUCGGUCGCACUG